CAGCCGCCGCGGGAAUACGGAGGGUGCAAGCGUUAUCCGGAUUUAUUGGGUUUAAAGGGUCCGUAGGCGGACUUAUAAGUCAGUGGUGAAAGCCUGUCGCUUAACGAUAGAACUGCCAUUGAUACUGUAAGUCUUGAGUAUAUUUGAGGUAGCUGGAAUAAGUAGUGUAGCGGUGAAAUGCAUAGAUAUUACUUAGAACACCAAUUGCGAAGGCAGGUUACCAAGAUAUAACUGACGCUGAGGGACGAAAGCGUGGGUAGCGAACAGGAUUAGAUACCCGGGUAGUCCCUGUCUCUUAUAC
rnacentral:rRNA from 1 species